rnacentral:lncRNA from 1 species
CUAUUGCUAGCCAAGUCGUGCAGUUUACUGUCAGAUUUUAUAGUUCUUUCUCUAGUUAAUCCUGCGUGAUCUACAUUUCAAAGAUAUGGUGGUUGUCAACUUUGAGUUGUGGUUCUGCGCGCUUCAAAGGUUUUGAUAUACUUAUUUGAGAUUGUUUUUGAAGUUGCCGGUCUUUCAUUACUAUUUGGUACCACGGCUUUGUGGAUGCUUCAUCUGAUAUUUGCUUUCAUACUCAGCUUUCUAUACUAUUAUGGAAGGCGUGUUU